rnacentral:rRNA from 1 species
UACAGAGACUGCAAGCGUUAUUCGGAUUCACUGGGCGUAAAGGGUGCGCAGGCGGUCGGGUGUGUCAGAUGUGAAAUCCCGAGGCUCAACCUCGGAACUGCGUCUGAAACUACUCGACUAGAGUACUGGAGAGGGUAACGGAAUUCACGGUGUAGCAGUGAAAUGCGUAGAUAUCGUGAGGAACACCAGAGGCGAAGGCGGUUACCUGGACAGUUACUGACGCUCAUGCACGAAAGCGUGGGGAGCAAACAGG